AACGAACGCUGGCGGCAUGCCUAACACAUGCAAGUCGAACGAGACCUUCGGUCUAGGGGCGCACGGGUGCGUAACGCGUGGGAACCUGCCCUUAGGUUCGGAAUAACUCCCCGGAAGGGGUUCUAAUACCGGAUAAUGUCUUCGGACCAAAGAUUUAUCGCCUUUGGAUGGGCCCGCGUUGGAUUAGCUAGUUGGUAGGGUAAAAGCCUACCAAGGCGACGAUCCAUAGCUGGUCUGAGAGGAUGAUCAGCCACACUGGGACUGAGACACGGCCCAGACUCCUACGGGAGGCAGCAGUGGGGAAUAUUGGACAAUGGGCGAAAGCCUGAUCCAGCAAUGCCGCGUGAGUGAUGAAGGCCUUAGGGUUGUAAAGCUCUUUUACCCGGGAUGAUAAUGACAGUACCGGGAGAAUAAGCUCCGGCUAACUCCGUG
rnacentral:rRNA from 1 species